rnacentral:rRNA from 1 species
UUUUCGUCAAUGGGCGCAAGCCUGAACGAGCAAUGCCGCGUGAACGAGGAAGGUCUUCGGAUCGUAAAGUUCUGUUGAAGGGGAAAAAGAGCGGAGAGAGGAAAUGCUUUCUGAUUGAUAUUACCCUUCGAGGAAGUCACGGCUAACUACGUGUCAGCAUCCGCGGUAAUACGUAGGUGGCGAGCGUUAUCCGGAAUGAUUGGGCGUAAAGGGUGCGUAGGCGGCCUGCUAAGUCUGGAGUGAAAGGUACCGGCUCAACCGGUACAGGCUCUGGAAACUGGCGGGCUAGGGGGCAGGAGAGGGCGGUGGAACUCCAUGUGUAGCGGUAAAAUGCGUAGAUAUAUGGAAGAACACCAGUGGCGAAGGCGGCCGCCUGGCCUGUUGACUGACGCUGAGGCACGAAAGCGUGGGGAGCAAAUAGG